GACGCCUGCCACUAUGUCCUGCUAAUUUUUGUAUUUUUAGUAGAGAUGGGGUGUCACCAUGUUUAGCAGGCUGGCCUUGAACUCCUGACCUCAGGUUAUUCACCCGCCUUGGCCUCCCAAAAUGCUGGGUACAGGCAUGAGCCAUCACGACCAGCCUUCAAGUAACAAAAUAUUAAAUAAAAUAUGGUCUAUCAUUCUACUUGGACAAUGUACCCUUUUUUUUUUUUUUUUUAGAUGGAAUCUCACGCCCACCGCCCAGGCUGGAGUACAGUGGUGCAAUCACUGCUCACUGCGGCCUCAACCUCCUGGGCUUAAGUGAUUCUCCCACCUCAGCCUCCCAACUACUCGGGAGGCUGAGGCAGGAGAAUGGCGUGAACCCGGGAGGCGGAGCUUGCAGUGAGCUGAGAUCAGGCCACUGCACUCCAGCCUGGGCGACAGAGCGAGACUCCGUCUCAAAAAAAAAAAAAAAAAAAAAAAAUUCCCUCUUCAUAGAAUCUCAGUCUUUUUCUCUUAAAACCUUCAGCUGAUUGGAUUGUACCAUGUUAUGCAGGGUAAUCUGCCUUAUUUAAUAUUUACUGUAUUAAAUGUUAAUCUCAUCUACAAAAUACCUGGUCAGCCCACAAAUACAUGGUCAGGGACUUUGGGGUUUGUGGUGCAUAGAGCAUGGCCUGGGAAGAAGGUUCAUGAGCUCCAGAAGAACACAAAUCCACAGACUCCUCUCCUGACAGGAGGGCCUACGCAGAGCAGGGCCCUUUAUGAUGUAGCGAAUGGGGCCGGGCUUCUUCUUGUAAGCUCCAGGAAUGGAACACAUUCAUGCCAGCUCUCUUGUUGGGCAUGAGAACCUGAGAUUCCAAGAGCUUCGAUGACAUGCCUCAGGGACUCAGCUCAUUCGGCUCAGGGCAAGCACCACCACUGCCAUUUUUACAGGUUAAAAAUGAUUGAACAUUGGCAAAUGUACAUGGUUCAACAUAGUACAAAAGUAUUGUGCUUAAUGCCAAAUUUAUUUUUAUUAUAAAUACAGGCCAGUCUUUGAAUCAGCUCCCUGAGAAACAAAACAAAAAUAAAAUCUUAACAAAAGUAGACUGAAGAUGAAAUGCGAUUACUAUGUAAUCUGUGUUGGAGCUUAGUAAAUGAAAAAUUAACUGGACCAAUAGAGAUGCAGUCAGGAACAUAGAAACACAACUUCUGACUUGGUUUAAACUCCUACCUGUUACUUUUUCUGGUCUUGGUGGGCUUUAAGCCUGGUUGGGGCCACACAGAUGGAGUUUGUUUAAGUGGUUGGAAUGCUUGGACUGGAAAGAAACAAGGAGUAAGAUGGUGGUUGUAAUAAUAUUGGGGCAAAAGGGACUAAUUUUUACAAAUUAUUUUAGAAUGUAUUAUUUCAAUAAUCUUGAUAAAUCGGCCGGGCGCGGUGGCUCAAGCCUGUAAUCCCAGCACUUUGGGAGGCCGAGGCGGGCGGAUCAUAAGGUCAGGAGAUCGAGACCACAGUGAAACCCUGUCUCUACUAAAAAUACAAAAAAUUAGCCGGGCGCGGUGGCGGGCGCCUGUAGUCCCAGCUACUCAGGAGGCUGAGGCAGGAGAAUGGCGGGAACCCGGGAGGCGGAGCUUGCAGUGAGCCGAGAUCGCGCCACUGCACUCCAGCCUGGGCAACAGCGUGAGACUCCGUCUCAAAAAAAAAAAAAAAAAAA
ensembl:lncRNA